GGAACUAAAGGAUACUAAUUUGGAGAUUGAGAAGACCAUACAGCAUUAUCGAACAUAGUGCAUUGCUACUGACAAAACUGUAUUGUGUUCUGGAUUCCCCAGUACAAGAACAACAUGGAAUGAUAGAAGCAAACCCAGAAAAGUGCCACUAAAAAGACUGAGGGAUUGGAGCAUCUUUCAUGUGAGGAAAGGCUAAGGGAGCUGGGACUGUUCAUACUGGAGAAGAGAAGGCUCAGAGGGGAUCUUACAAGUGCCUAACUGGGGGCAGUGAAAAGGAAGCCAGAGUCUUCUCAUUGGUGUUCAAUGAGAGGAUAAGAGGCAAUAAGACAGGAAACACAUGAACCUCCAUCUAAACAUAAGAAAAUAUUUUUUGACUGAGAGUCAGACAGUAGAACAGGUUGCUGAGAGAAGUUGUGGGGUCUCCACCCUUGAAGAUAUUUAAAACCUGACUGGACUUAACCCUGAGCAACCUGCUCUAGCUGAUCAUCCUUUAGCAGGAGGGUUAGACUGUCCUACUCAGAAAUUUUAUGACUUGUCCAAUACAGUUCAGGUUCUGAAAACAAUUUUCUUUGUACCAAAUGCAUGCCAUGUUUUCCGUAAGUCGUGUCACACUGUAAAUAUACUAUCAGAUCAAA